GGCAUGGGGGAGCCCUGUCGAGGCCGCUAGAGCGCUGCACCGCUGAUGAGAAAAACGUGCAGUAGCCCGACCUUAAGUUAAAAUAGUUGCAAUUCGUUGCACUGGUCCACCCAACACCCUGUGUCUUGCGAGGGCUUGCUGGAGGUGGAAAUUAUGGGCACAGCUGGAGGCGGGUAGCAACCAGCCAUUGUGGGGAGGGAUUCGAGCCAGCAUCAUCGGCGGCGCACCAGGCUAGUCUCACUUGAACGAUCAUCGGGGAGAUGAAUGACGGUUUAUUCAGACACAGACGGGGAAAUGAGAGGGGCCGUCGAGAUUGUCGAAAUCGAUGUGAAACCGAGGGCGAGCACAGAUACUUAUAAGCUUUCCAGAAUUUCUGCACCCGAUAAAAGGGUCAACAGUCAACAUCAUUCCCCAAUUCCAGGAUCAAUGUGAAGCAGCUAACUCAUCCAUUGUUGCUGCGAGCAAUCUCGAGGGAACAAUGUCAAGCCAGAGGGGGAGCGGCGCGUUAGACCACAACCAACCCCAGCCACCGCCAACUGGCAUUCAUCCCCAUGAGCCUUGACUUGCAUACGCAUGCAUACAUCGAGAACUAGUAGUCCAUAGUAAGCGAUGGAUGGAUUUCCAGACCCUGACAAAGUCCCUCCCUGAUCCGUGCUUGAGAGAGACAAUUCCAAAGUAUCGCGUUGAGGGCAGUACGCAGUAGUUGGCUUUCUCUCCACAAUUUGAUAUGCUCGUAAUUAUCUAUCUCCACAACCAAAGCUCGUCCGCUGGCGAGGAAACCAACAAACCAAGCAUUCUUAGCUGAUCUUGGUUGACGGGAUUUAACUAACUUACCACCAGCAUCGCCUGCACAUCCUGCAGUCAGUGCGCGACCCUUGGACCGCUUCCAUUCACGAGAUCUCUUGGAUCAACGAACCUCACUCGAGCCAUGCUAGCGGCUUCGCGAUGGCACAUUCCCCCGAACCCGCUUCAAUCGUUCCUGACGAGACAACGACUCCAUCUCAGCUCCACCGCGGCUCUCCCUUGUCCUGUUCGCAGCCCCCUGAUUCUCUGCAGUUUAUCCUGCGUCAAAGACGGGGGAACCGAACUAGCUAAUUAAACUAUGCUGGCCAGGCCGCUCAGAGCGCUGGUCGCGUUUUGCUUCCUUCUUCUCACAUAUCUCUCAUUUAGCUCGUUCAGGAGAUCGUCGUAUACCAGGACAUACGUCCUCCCAUCUCCCUUCGAAGCCCGUUCGCUCCAAUCCCGCCAGAUCAGAUUCUGGCACACUUUCCUGCCGAUCCUCCAGCAGAAUGCGCCAGACUGCCCGUCCCCGCAUCGAGAUCGCAAUGCGGAAGCGGUUGGCUUCAAUGCGGCCGAACCACCACCACGUCCUUCCCUGAUCUCGAUGCCAGAGGAGGAUGUGCUUAAGAUGCAACAGGCACAUACACGGUUCUUGCAACAGGUCAAGUCGUCCUCCGAUUUGAAGCCCAUUGUUAUUCCGGAAAGUCGCGGAGUGGUGUAUGCGGCGGGGGGCAGUUAUCUGCCAGUUCUCGUCUCCUCUUUGCGAAUGUUACGCCGGACCGGUUCAAACCUGCCUGUCGAACUCUUCCUUAAAGACCGUUCUGAAUACGAAAGCACCAUUUGCGACGAAGUCCUUCCCUCACUGAACGGCCGCUGCGUUGUCCUUUCUGAUAUACUCAGCGCCACUCCUAUUCCCACGAAUGGCGAUGGCGACUCUCUUGCCCGCAAUGACAACCAAGAGCCUAAGACUGAGAUAGCGCACUACCAACUCAAAAUAUUUGCCAUGCUUUUCUCCUCCUUCGAGGAAAUUGUCUGGCUAGACGCGGACUGUUUCCCUUUACACAAGCCUGAAGAGCACCUCAACUCAAACCCCUACAAAAUGACUGGAAUGGUCACCUGGCCCGACUUCUGGAUCUCCACCGUGUCCCCCUUAUACUACAACAUAUCGCAACUACCAAUCCCAUCUAUGGGACUGCGCGCCUCGUCGGAAACCGGCCAAAUACUCCUUUCCAAGAAGUCACACCAAAUCACCCUGCUCCUCUCCACCUACUACAACUACUACGGACCUUCACAUUACUUCCCGCUCCUCUCACAAGGUGCCCCAGGCGAAGGCGAUAAGGAAACAUUCCUCCAAGCCGCCUCUGCCGCGGGAGAGCCGUUCUACGCCACCAGCGAACCCGUCAGGGCAAUCGGACACGUGAAAGGAGACGGUAACGACAUCGCAGGUUCCGCAAUGGUCCAAUUCGACCCCUCAAACGAGUAUCGCAAUUCCCAAACUACUCUCACAAGCUCACAUAAUAAGAUGAAUAGUAACCACCGCCACAGCGACAGCAACAGCAACACCAACACCACACCACUGCGCGUCUCCUUCAUCCACGCCAACUUCCCCAAAUUCAAUCCAGCCACCGUCUUCGACCAAACCCACGAGACAAAGCCCACCUACAGACCUGACGGCAGCGACGGCCGCGCAUGGGUUGUGGCGCGCGACACUCUUUCACGCUUCGGAUAUGAUGUAGAACGCGCGUUCUGGGAGGAGAUUAUGUGGGUUGCGUGUGAGUUGGAG
rnacentral:sRNA from 1 species